rnacentral:rRNA from 1 species
GUACAUGCCUAUAACAUAUCGUUAAUUCACUGAAUCCCAUUAGAACUCCAUAAUUAAGCGUAAUUGAGCUAGAGUAUCACUGGGAUGCGUGACUACCUAGGAAGUCCUAGUGUUUUACAUG